AGAUUGAACGCUGGCGGCAUGCCUAACACAUGCAAGUCGAACGGGAGUAGCAAUACUCUAGUGGCGGACGGGUGAGGAAUACGUAGGAAUUUGCCCUUAAGUGGGGGAUAACCCGGGGAAACCCGGAUUAAUACCGCAUGACCUCGAAAGAGCAAAGUGGGGGAUCGCAAGACCUCACGCUUUUGGAGAAGCCUACGUCGGAUUAGCUAGUUGGUGAGGUAAUGGCUCACCAAGGCGACGAUCCGUAACUGGUCUGGAGAGGAUGAUCAGUCACACCGGAACUGAGACACGGUCCGGACUCCGUACGGGAGCAGCAGUGGGGAAUAUUGGACAAGUGGGCGACAAGCCUGAACUCCGAGACCAAUCGCCGCGUGUGUAGAAGACGGCCGUUCGGUUAGUAAAGCUACGUUUAAGUUAGG
rnacentral:rRNA from 1 species